CCUGUCAAGGAGGAUAUAUGUGGGUCAGUGACUUCCCCCUCUCCGGAGCACGCAGCAAACCCCGGCUGCGAGGCCAGUGGACCUUCACAGCCCCCAUAAUGCAUCUUUUCCCCUAGUUUUAAAGAUGUACAUAAUCUUUGCAUAUUCGAGAAAUAUACAGAAACGAAAGUAAAAUUAUCCCACAGUCCUCUCACCCAGAGAUACAGCUCACGACAAGGUUCUCUCUGUGCGUUUUUUCUAAAAAGUGUACUUUGGUUACUUUUUAAUUUCCAUAUGAAUACAGGAAAAAACUACUGCCCAUGCCUGUGUCAGGGUGCAAUGAUAUUCUUUCUAGAAAGUUCUGGCUUCCUGUGGAGGUUGCCUCACUCCAGGAAGCUGUGACGGACCCAACUGAUCGCCCAUAGCUCUGAAAACAGUGGUGGCAUCCCUUGCCCCCCCCCCCCUGCUGCAGUCCUCUGGGUGCUGACAGCUGGGAGCUGGGACGGCAGCGAGCAGAACACACAGAAACAAGAAAACACCUUGCGGUCGCCGACGGACAGGCUGCUGAGAACUUCCGGGACAACAGUCCUUGCAAAGGCCAUGACUCCUCUCACUUCCCAUAGCUGGAAUAAACAAAGACAUGCUGACAUAA